CCCAUAUCAGGGGAUGGUUUAUUGUGUUUUAUUAUCAUCAAACACGCAAAGCAUGACAGUCGUGCAGAAUGUGUGCAUUACAGGAACAGGCGUUGCUAAGAUGGACUUUGGGGACUGAAACCCCAGAUGUGGGUUCUUUAACCCCGAAUCACUGCAGCUGGUGGAGGGGGUAGGAGGACAUGUGAGUUUUUUCAUUCUACACGAGGAACAGACAGACGUUUCACAGAGCAGCCACCAAUUAUAAAAGAUCAGGAGUAUAGAGCUCCUCCAGGUGCCCCUCAGGUGAUUGUCAGAAGCACGCCGAUCUAUUUAUUAGAUAGCGUGGUUGGAUCACAUUGAAUGGCUGGGAAGCAGGUGCUUUCUUUGACAUCCUGGAGAGAUGCAGCCGCAGGCUGUUCAUGGGUG